UUGUAUUCCUUUUGUCCUUUCUCAUUUGACGUAUGGCUCACUUCAUAAAAACGUUUACAUAUUGAUUUCCAAAUAGCUUCACGUGGUCCUAAAACAAUAUUGACACACCAUGUGGGUUUUUGGAAGGCUCUGUUCUGCUGCUUCUAUAAAAGAUGUUUAGGUUUUUCUUCCCCAGGAUUUUUGAAUCAAGAAAAUUCGUUGGUCAAUUAUACCCAAACACAAUGACCAUGCAAUUUCCCUUUUAAAGGCUGUGGUUGAGUCCAUUUUAAAAGGCACGGCCGUCAGUGGGUCCUCUGGGUUAAACCUCUCAGAUGAGCAUCUGUCCUCUCCAAGGUGUGAAAUCAUACUUGGCAAAAGGCAUCUCAAGCCCCAGAACCCUCAGUCAGAGCCGUCGCGUUUUUCGUCCACACACAGUAAAGAUAGCUGUGAAAACUGCAGUCUUCACCAGAUUUCUGCCGCUGAAAUCGCUGGGCUUUGGCCGAACCAACCUGCCUCCUUUCUCUAAGACCCGAAUGGCUUUGGAAGGUCGGGACAGCAUCACUCCGCUCCGUAGCAUCUCUCCACACAGCCGUCAACCUGCUGCCUUCCUGCUGCACUCGAUUCACUGAGGAUCUACUCUCUCAGCUUACUGUCUUCCUCUGCAUCUGACUCCUGUCCCCCUUCUGGGUCAUUUCAAUACACCUCAGGGUCUCUUAGUUCCCUGACCUGUCAGUAACUUGUUCCCCGUCCGCAGCAUCCAUCUCCCAUCACAGCUUUGUCUUGGCAGCACCAGUCACGGUACCCAACCCAACCACAGACACCCUGCUCUCAGACCGACACCUCCCUCCCGCUCUCCCCAGCUGCCUUUGGCUCGGUUGCUUCUUUCUCUUGCUUGGACAUACAAGCCCUUUUCCUUUUCCAGGUGUCUGCUCUUACUUUUCUUCAACCUUAGUGGGUCUUCUUACAGCUCCUCACUUUGCUGGAUGAUUCUCUGGUUCUGUGUCUCCUAAAGAUGUCCCCUCUCCCGGGAAGCCUUCCCUCCCUCAGUCUCUCUUUAACACCCUCUUGCCUCUUUCACAGAGCUCAUCACAGUCUGUAGUUCUCUUGCUGUGUAUUGUUUUAUAUAGGAUGAGAACUCUUAGGG
ensembl:lncRNA